GAUGAACGCUGGCGGCGUGCCUAAUACAUGCAAGUCGAGCGGGGUUAUUUCCCGAAGGAAAUAACCUAGCGGCGAACGGGUGAGUAACACGUGGGCAACCUGCCCCUAAGACUGGGAUAACUCCGGGAAACCGGGGCUAAUACCAGAUAACCUCUUCCCUCGCAUGAGGGAAGAGUAAAAGGCUACGGCCACUUAGGGAUGGGCCCGCGGCGCAUUAGCUGGUUGGUGAGGUAACGGCUCACCAAGGCGACGAUGCGUAGCCGACCUGAGAGGGUGACCGGCCACACUGGGACUGAGACACGGCCCAGACUCCUACGGGAGGCAGCAGUAGGGAAUUUUCCGCAAUGGGCGAAAGCCUGACGGAGCAACGCCGCGUGAGCGAAGACGGCCUUCGGGUUGUAAAGCUCUGUUCUUGGGGAAGAAGGAAGUGACGGUACCCAAGGAGAAAGCCCCGGCUAACUACGUGCCAGCCGCCGCGGUAAGAC
rnacentral:rRNA from 1 species